UACAGAGGUCUCAAGCGUUGUUCGGAUUCAUUGGGCGUAAAGGGUGCGUAGGCGGCGCUGUAAGUCGGGUGUGAAAUUUCGGAGCUUAACUCCGAAACUGCAUUCGAUACUGCGGUGCUUGAGGACUGGAGAGGAGACUGGAAUUCAUGGUGUAGCAGUGAAAUGCGUAGAGAUCAUGAGGAAGACCAGUGGCGAAGGCGGGUCUCUGGACAGUUCCUGACACUGAGACACGAAGGCCAGGGGAGCAAACGGG
rnacentral:rRNA from 1 species